rnacentral:snRNA from 1 species
CUGCUCACUUCAGCAACACCUAUCCUAAAAUUGGAACGACACAGAGAUUAGCAUGGCCUCUGCACGAGGAUGACACAAAAUUCAUAAAGUGUUCUGUAUUUUU